UUCCAGACUCCUACGGGAGGCAGCAGUGGGGAAUAUUGCACAAUGGGGGAAACCCUGAUGCAGCGACGCCGCGUGAGUGAAGAAGUAUUUCGGUAUGUAAAGCUCUAUCAGCAGGGAAGAAGAUGACGGUACCUGACUAAGAAGCCCCGGCUAACUACGUGCCAGCAGCCGCGGUAAUACGUAGGGGGCAAGCGUUAUCCGGAUUUACUGGGUGUAAAGGGAGCGUAGACGGCGAUGCAAGCCAGAUGUGAAAGCCCGGGGCUCAACCCCGGGACUGCAUUUGGAACUGUGUGGCUGGAGUGUCGGAGAGGCAGGCGGAAUUCCUAGUGUAGCGGUGAAAUGCGUAGAUAUUAGGAGGAACACCAGUGGCGAAGGCGGCCUGCUGGACGAUGACUGACGUUGAGGCUCGAAAGCGUGGGGAGCAAACAGGAUUAGAUACCCCAGUAUAG
rnacentral:rRNA from 1 species